rnacentral:rRNA from 1 species
GACGAACGCUGGCGGCGUGCUUAACACAUGCAAGUCGAACGGAAAGGCCCUGCUUUUGUGGGGUGCUCGAGUGGCGAACGGGUGAGUAACACGUGAGUAACCUGCCCUUGACUUUGGGAUAACUUCAGGAAACUGGGGCUAAUACCGGAUAGGAGCUCCUGCUGCAUGGUGGGGGUUGGAAAGUUUCGGCGGUUGGGGAUGGACUCGCGGCUUAUCAGCUUGUUGGUGGGGUAGUGGCUUACCAAGGCUUUGACGGGUAGCCGGCCUGAGAGGGUGACCGGCCACAUUGGGACUGAGAUACGGCCCAGACUCCUACGGGAGGCAGCAGUGGGGAAUAUUGCAAAAGGGGCGGAAGCCUGAUGCAGCAACGCCGCGUGCGGGAUGACGGCCUUCGGGUUGUAAACCGCUUUCGCCUGUGACGAAGCGUGAGUGACGGAAAUGGGUAAAGAAGCACGGGCUAACUACGUG